GCGGAGGAAAAGAAACCAACAGGGAUUACCUCAGUAACGGCGAGUGAAGCGGUAACAGCUCAAAUUUGAAAUCGGCCACCCGGUCGAGUUGUAAUUUGCAGAGGAUGCUUCGGCUUACGCCCCGGUCCAAGUCCGUUGGAACACGGCGUCGCAGAGGGUGAGAAUCCCGUUGCGGCCGGCGGCCACGCCAUGUGAAGCUCCUUCGACGAGUCGAGUUGUUUGGGAAUGCAGCUCAAAAUGGGAGGUAAAUUUCUUCUAAAGCUAAAUAUUGGCCCGAGACCGAUAGCGCACAAGUAGAGUGAUCGAAAGAUGAAAAGCAUCUUGGAAAGGAAUCGAAACAGCACGUGAAAUUGUUGAAGGGGAAGCGCUCGCGGCGAGAGCCCGCGCGGUCGUUCACCGGGGCCUCGCGCCCCGGGCACGCGGCCGCGUCGGCCAGCAUCGGUUCGGGCGGCGGGAGAAACGCCGACGGCAUGUAGCUCCCCUCGGGGAGUGUUAUAGCCGCGGCGCAAUACCGCCCGCCUGGACCGUGGCACGCGCUCUCGCUCGGAUGCUGGCGUAAUCGCCGCGAGCGGCCCGUCUUGA
rnacentral:rRNA from 1 species